rnacentral:lncRNA from 1 species
UGUGCACAAUGUGCAGGUUAGUUACAUAUGUAUACAUGUGCCAUGCUGGUGCUUUGCACCCACUAACUCGUCAUCUAGCAUUAGGUAUAUCUCCCAAUGCCAUCCCUCCCCCCUCCCCCCACCCCACAACAGUCCCCAGAGUGUGAUGUUCCCCUUCCUGUGUCCAUGUGUUCUCAUUGUUCAAUUCCCACCUAUGAGUGAGAAUAUGCGGUGUUUGGUUUUUUGUUCUUGCGAUAGUUUACUGAGAAUGAUGAUUUCCAAUUUCAUCCAUGUCCCUACAAAGGACAUGAACUCAUCAUUUUUUAUGGCUGCAUAGUAUUCCAUGGUGUAUAUGAGCCACAUUUUCUUAAUCCAGUCUAUCGUUGUUGGACAUUUGGGUUGGUUCCAAGUCUUUGCUAUUGUGAAUAAUGCCGCAAUAAACAUACGUGUGCAUGUGUCUUUAUAGCAGCAUGAUUUAUAGUCCUUUGGGUAUAUACCCAGUAAUGGGAUGGCUGGGUCAAAUGUGGAGUACAUUUAGAUUCAAACCCAGCUCUACCACUUAUUAGCUAUGAGACCCUGAACAAAUUGCAUAACCUCACCAAGCAUGCAAGUCUAUGUUUCUUCAUCGAUACAGAUUUACACAUACUAAUCUGAAAAGAAAAGAUCUACAAGCUAUGUUGUAAGGUAAAAUAGUAAACUGGAGAACACUGAUAUGUAUGCUACUGUUUACAUAAAGGAAAAAUGGAGAAACAACACAAAAAUAUUUCUACAGUUACUUAUAAAUGCAGAGAAAAGGUCUGAGAAUUAUCUGGCUAAAAUCAUAAGUGAUUACAUCAAGAGAUCAGGGGAAUCGCUUAGGACAGAGACAUCCAUUCUGUUUAUAUUAUUACCUUUUUUAAACACUAGAGGCUGAUCGUGGUGGCUCACACCUGUAAUCCAGCACUUUGGGAGGCCGAGGCAGGCGGAUCACAAGGUCAGGAGAUCGAGACCAUCCUGGCCAACAUGAUGAAACUCUAUCUCUACUAAAAAUACAAAAAAAAUUAGCUGGUGUGGUGGCGCGUGCCUGUAAUCCCAACUACUCGGAAGGCUGAGGCACGAGAAUCACUUGAACCCAGGAGGCGGAAGUUGCAGUGGGCCAAGAUCGCACCACUGCACUUCAGCCUGGUGACAGAGCAAGACUCCAUCUCAAAAAAAAAAAAAAAGAAAAGAAAAGAAAAAGAAAAAAAUCUAGAACACAUAUCGGUGUUAUCAUUAAAAAAAAAUUUUUUUUUUUUGAGACAGAAUCUUGCUGUCACCCAGGCUGGAGUGGAGUGGAGUUGUGCGAUCUCAGCUCAUUGCAACCUCUGCCUCCUGAGUUCAAGGGAUUCUCCUGCCUCAGCCUCCCCAGUAGCUGGGAUUACAGGUGUCCACCAUCAUGCCUGGCUAAUUUUUGUAUUUUACUUUAGUAGAGGCGGGGUUUCACCAUGUUGGCCAGGCUGGUCUCAAACUCCUAAACUCAGGUGAUCAACCCUCCUUGGCCUCCCAAAGUGCUGGGAUUAUAGGCGUCAGCCA